rnacentral:rRNA from 1 species
UGAAGCGGCAACAGCUCAAAUUUGAAAUCUGGCUUCGGCCCGAGUUGUAAUUUGUAGAGGAAGCUUUUGGUGAGGCACCUUCUGAGUCCCCUGGAACGGGGCGCCAUAGAGGGUGAGAGCCCCGUAUAGUCGGAUGCCGAUCCAAUGUAAAGCUCCUUCGACGAGUCGAGUAGUUUGGGAAUGCUGCUCAAAAUGGGAGGUAAAUGUCUUCUAAAGCUAAAUACCGGCCAGAGACCGAUAGCGCACAAGUAGAGUGAUCGAAAGAUGAAAAGCACCUUGAAAAGGGGGUUAAAUAGCACGUGAAAUUGUUGAAAGGGAAGCGUUUGUGACCAGACUUGCGCCGCCCCGAUCAUCCGGUGUUCUCACCGGUGCACUCGGGGCGGCGCAGGCCAGCAUCGGUUUCGGCGGGGGGAUAAAGGCCCGGGGAACGUAGCUCCUCCGGGAGUGUUAUAGCCCCGGGCGUAAUGCCCUCGCCGGGACCGAGGUUCGCGCAUC